rnacentral:rRNA from 1 species
AACGAACGCUGGCGGCAUGCCUAACACAUGCAAGUCGAACGAGGCCUUCGGGUCUAGUGGCGCACGGGUGCGUAACGCGUGGGAACCUGCCCUUAGGUUCGGAAUAACUCCCCGAAAGGGGUGCUAAUACCGGAUAAUGUCUUCGGACCAAAGAUUUAUCGCCUUUGGAUGGGCCCGCGUUGGAUUAGCUAGUUGGUAGGGUAAAAGCCUACCAAGGCGACGAUCCAUAGCUGGUCUGAGAGGAUGAUCGGCCACACUGGGACUGAGAUACGGCCCAGACUCCUAAGGGAGGCAGCAGUGGGGGAGAUGGGACAAUGGGAGGAAGCAUGAUGAAGCAACGCCGCGUGCGGGAUGACGGCCGUCGGGUUGUAAACCGCUUUCGCCUGUGACGAAGCGUGAGGGAGGGUAAGGGGUAAAGAAGCACAGGAUAACUACGUG